rnacentral:rRNA from 1 species
UACGAAGGGUGCAAGCGUUACUCGGAAUUACUGGGCGUAAAGGGCUCGUAGGCGGCCAACUAAGUCAGACGUGAAAUCCCUCAGCUUAACUGGGGAACUGCGUCUGAUACUGGAUGGCUUGGAUUCGGGAGAGGGAUGCGGAAUUCCAGGUGUAGCGGUGAAAUGCGUAGAUAUCUGGAGGAACACCGGUGGCGAAGGCGGCAUCCUGGACCGAUAUUGACGCUGAGGAGCGAAAGCCAGGGGAGCAAACGGG